rnacentral:rRNA from 1 species
GAUGGGCCCGCGGCUCAUCAGCUAGUUGGUGAGGUAAUGGCUCACCAAGGCUAAGACGAGUAGCUGGUCUGAGAGGACGAUCAGCCACACUGGGACUGCGACACGGCCCAGACUCCUACGGGAGGCAGCAGUGGGGAAUAUUGGGCAAUGGGCGAAAGCCUGACCCAGCCACGCCGCGUGAGUGAUGAAGGCCUUCGGGUCGUAAAGCUCUGUGGGGAGGGAAGAACAAGCUCUGGGCUAAUCACCGGAGCUCUGACGGUACCUCCUUAGCAAGCACCGGCUAACCCUGUGCCAGCAGCCGCGGUAAUACGUAGGUGGCAAGCGUUGUCCGGAAUUAUUGGGCGUAAAGCGCGCGCAGGCGGUCCUUUAAGUCUGAUGUGAAAGCCCACGGCUCAACCGUGGAGGGUCAUUGGAAACUGGGGGACUUGAGUGCAGAAGAGGAAAGCGGAAUUCCACGUGUAGCGGUGAAAUGCGUAGAGAUGUGGAGGAACACCAGUGGCGAAGGCGGCUUUCUGGUCUGUAACUGACGCUGAGGCGCGAAAGCGUGGGGAGCAAACAGGAUUAGAUACCCUGGUAGUCCACGCCGUAAACGAUGAGUGCUAAGUGU